UACGUAGGGGGCUAGCGUUGUCCGGAAUCAUUGGGCGUAAAGCGCGCGUAGGCGGCCCUGUAAGUCCGCUGUGAAAGUCAAAGGCUCAACCUUUGAAAGCCGGUGGAUACUGCAGGGCUAGAGUCCGGAAGAGGCGAGUGGAAUUCCUGGUGUAGCGGUGAAAUGCGCAGAUAUCAGGAGGAACACCGAUGGCGAAGGCAGGUCUCUGGGCAUUAACUGACGCUGAGGAGCGAAAGCAUGGGGAGCGAACAGG
rnacentral:rRNA from 1 species